GUCUCUGUAGCUCAUUUGGUUUGAGCGCCGCAUGGAAGCGCAUGCAGGGCCGCAGGUUCAAUUCCUGCCAGGAACC